AUGACCGAUGCCAAGGCAAUCGAUGCCCAAUACGGGGCUGAAAAGGCCAUGACGUCACUUGCUGCAGCAUUGGCAGGGGGCAAUCUGAUUUACGAAUCUU
rfam:Pelagicola litorisediminis strain CECT 8287 genome assembly, contig: 0001